AUCGAACGCUGGCGGCAGGCCUAACACAUGCAAGUCGAACGAGUGGCGGACGGGCGAGUAAUGUCUUGGAAACUGCCUGAUCUAGGCGGCUAAGUACUGUAACAGGUAGAUAAUACUGCUUACCAUCAGUUGUGCCCAGAGGGGAUUAGCUUGUGGGGGGGGUAACGGCUCACCAAGGCGACGAUCCCGAGCGGGUCCGAGAGGCUGACCAGCCACACUGGAACUGAGACACGGUCCAGACUCCUACGGGAGGCAGCAGUGGGGAAUAUUGCGCAAUGGGCGAAAGCCGGAUGCAGCCAUGCCGCGUGUAUGAAGAAGGCCUUCGGGUUGUAAAGUACUUUCGGCGGGGAGGCGUUACCCGCACAAGAAGCACCGGCUAACUCCGUGCCAGCAGCCGCGGUAAUUC
rnacentral:rRNA from 1 species